GAUGAACGCUGGCGGCGUGCCUAAUACAUGCAAGUCGAGCGAACGGACGAGAAGCUUGCUUCUCUGAUGUUAGCGGCGGCGGGGUGAUAAACCCGUGGAAACCUACCUUUAAAGAUGGGGAAAAUUCGGGAAACCGGGACCAAAACCGGGAUAAUAUUUUGACCCCCAGGGUUCAAAGGUAAAAGACGGCUUUGUGGCACUUAUUAGAGGGUUCCCAGCUGCAUUAGUUAGUUGGUAAGUUAACGGCUUACCAAGGCAACGAUGCAUAGCCGACCUGAGAGGGUGAUCGGCCACACUGGAACUGAGACACGGUCCAGACUCCUACGGGAGGCAGCAGUAGGGAAUCUUCCGCAAUGGGCGAAAGCCUGACGGAGCAACGCCGCGUGAGUGAUGAAGGUCUUCGGAUCGUAAAACUCUGUUAUUAGGGAAGAACAUAUGUGUAAGUAACUGUGCACAUCUUGACGGUACCUAACCAGAAAGCCACGGCUAACUACGUG
rnacentral:rRNA from 1 species